UACGAAGGGGGCUAGCGUUGCUCGGAAUUACUGGGCGUAAAGCGCACGUAGGCGGAUUGUUAAGUCGGGGGUGAAAUCCUGGAGCUCAACUCCAGAACUGCCUUCGAUACUGGCGAUCUCGAGUUCGGGAGAGGUGAGUGGAACUGCGAGUGUAGAGGUGAAAUUCGUAGAUAUUCGCAAGAACACCAAGUGGCGAAGGCGGACUCACUGGCCCGAU
rnacentral:rRNA from 1 species